UGAAAGAGAUGGUGUCAUCGCU
rnacentral:piRNA from 1 species